GCUGGCUGGAGGAAUUUUGGAAGGGGUGAGGCAUACACUUUCUUCUAUGUUCCUGAAACCACAACAUUGUUAGGACUCAUCUGUUCAUGAGACCAGACCAAUAGAAAAUGAGCACUCCGUGGAUAAAAAAUACAGAUGGAAACUUAGUGAGACGGAGUUUUACCAUGUUGCCCAGUCUGGUCUCGAACUCCUGAGCUCAAGCAGUCCACCUGCCUUUGCCUCCCAAAGUGCUGGUAUUACAGGAUGCACUACCAGCGUGUAAUGCAGAAGUUGCAUACAAUGAAGAUAUCUCAUUCCAUCACCUCGUGGCAUAAAUCAAUAUAGUCAGAGCAACAAAGAAUGACUAUUUCCAUAAAAAUGACAUUAAACUAUUUGUGUGCUUGUA